CCUCGAAUCAGGUGGGACUACCCGCUGAACUUAAGCAUAUCAAUAAGCGGAGGAAAAGAAACUAACAAGGAUUCCCCUAGUAACGGCGAGUGAAGCGGGAUGAGCUCAAAUUUAAAAUCUGAUAGUCUUUGGCUGUCCGAGUUGUAAUCUAGAGAAGUGUUUUCCGCGUUGGACCAUGUACAAGUUUCCUGGAACGGAACGUCAUAGAGGGUGAGAAUCCCGUCCUUGACAUGGACUACCAGUGCUUUGUGAUACACUCUCAACGAGUCGAGUUGUUUGGGAUUGCAGCUCAAAAUGGGAGGUAAAUUCCUUCUAAAGCUAAAUAUUGGCGAGAGACCGAUAGCGAACAAGUACCGUGAGGGAAAGAUGAAAAGCACUUUGGAAAGAGAGUUAAACAGUACGUGAAAUUGUUAAAAGGGAAACGAUUGAAGUCAGUCGCGUUUACUUGGACUCAGCCUUACCUCGGUUUGGUGCAUUUCCUUGUGAACGGGCCAGCGUCAAUGUUGUCCGUUGGAAAAGGGUUGGAGAAAUGUGGCUCUUUCGGGAGUGUUAUAGUCUCUGAUCGUAUACAACGGCUGAUAUUGAGUGGUACGCAUGCUUCGGCGGUGCUUGUG
rnacentral:rRNA from 1 species